rnacentral:rRNA from 1 species
UACGUAGGGCGCAAGCGUUGUCCGGAAUUAUUGGGCGUAAAGAGCUCGUAGGCGGUCUGUCGCGUCGGAUGUGAAAAUCCAGGGCUCAACCCUGGACCUGCAUUCGAUACGGGCAGACUAGAGUUCGGUAGGGGAGACUGGAAUUCCUGGUGUAGCGGUGAAAUGCGCAGAUAUCAGGAGGAACACCGAUGGCGAAGGCAGGUCUCUGGGCCACUACUGACGCUGAGAAGCGAAAGCAUGGGGAGCGAACGGG